UAGCUAGUUGGUGAGGUAACGGCCCACCAAGGCGACGAUUGGUAGCCGGACUGAGAGGUUGAACGGCCACAUUGGGACUGAGACACGGCCCAGACUCCUACGGGAGGCAGCAGUGGGGGAUAUUGCACAAUGGGGGAAACCCUGAUGCAGCGACGCCGCGUGGAGGAAGAAGGUUUUCGGAUUGUAAACUCCUGUCGUUAGGGACGAUAAUGACGGUACCUAACAAGAAAGCACCGGCUAACUACGUGCCAGCAGCCGCGGUAAAACGUAGGGUGCAAGCGUUGUCCGGAAUUACUGGGUGUAAAGGGAGCGCAGGCGGACCGGCAAGUUGGAAGUGAAAACUAUGGGCUCAACCCAUAAAUUGCUUUCAAAACUGCUGGCCUUGAGUAGUGCAGAGGUAGGUGGAAUUCCCGGUGUAGCGGUGGAAUGCGUAGAUAUCGGGAGGAACACCAGUGGCGAAGGCGACCUACUGGGCACCAACUGACGCUGAGGCUCGAAAGCAUGGGUAGCAAACAGGAUUAGAUACCCUGGUAGUCCAUGCCGUAAACGAUGAUUACUAGGUGUUGGAGGAUUGACCCCUUCAGUGCCGCAGUUAACACAAUAAGUAAUCCACCUGGGGAGUACGACCGCAAGGUUGAAACUCAAAGGAAUUGACGGGGGCCCGCACAAGCAGUGGAGUAUGUGGUUUAAUUCGAAGCAACGCGAAGAACCUUACCAGGUCUUGACAUCCGAUGCAUAGUGCAGAGAUGCAUGAAGUCCUUCGGGACAUCGAGACAGGUGGUGCAUGGUUGUCGUCAGCUCGUGUCGUGAGAUGUUGGGUUAAGUCCCGCAACGAGCGCAACCCUUAUUGCCAGUUACUACGAAAGAGGACUCUGGCGAGACUGCCGUUGACAAAACGGAGGAAGGUGGGGAUGACGUCAAAUCAUCAUGCCCUUUAUGACCUGGGCUACACACGUACUACAAUGACGUUUAACAAAGAGAAGCAAGACCGCGAGGUGGAGCAAAACUCAAAAACAACGUCUCAGUUCAGAUUGCAGGCUGCAACUCGCCUGCAUGAAGUCGGAAUUGCUAGUAAUCGCGGAUCAGCAUGCCGCGGUGAAUACGUUCCCGGGCCUUGUACACACCGCCCGUCACACCAUGAGAGCCGGGGGGACCCGAAGUCGGUAGUCUAACCGCAAGGAGGACGCCGCCGAAGGUAAAACUGGUGAUAGGGGUGAAGUCGUAACAAGGUAGCCGUA
rnacentral:rRNA from 1 species